AACGAACGCUGGCGGCAUGCCUAACAUAUGCAAGUCGAACGAGACCUUCGGGUCUAGUGGCGCACGGGUGCGUAACGCGUGGGAACCUGCCCUUAGGUUCGGAAUAACUCCCCGAAAGGGGUGCUAAUACCGGAUAAUGUCUUCGGACCAAAGAUUUAUCGCCUUUGGAUGGGCCCGCGUUGGAUUAGCUAGUUGGUAGGGUAAAAGCCUACCAAGGCGACGAUCCAUAGCUGGUCUGAGAGGAUGAUCAGCCACACUGGGACUGAGACACGGCCCAGACUCCUACGGGAGGCAGCAGUGGGGAAUAUUGGACAAUGGGCGAAAGCCUGAUCCAGCAAUGCCGCGUGAGUGAUGAAGGCCUUAGGGUUGUAAAGCUCUUUUACCCGGGAUGAUAAUGGCAGUACCGGGAGAAUAAGCUCCGGCUAACUCCGUG
rnacentral:rRNA from 1 species